CCUACGGGGGGCAGCAGUGGGGAAUAUUGCACAAUGGGGGAAACCCUGAUGCAGCGACGCCGCGUGAGUGAAGAAGUAUCUCGGUACGUAAAGCUCUGUCAGCAGGGAAGAAAAUGACGGUACCUGAAGAAGAAGCCCCGGCUAACUACGUGCCAGCAGCCGCGGUAAUACGUAGGGGGCAAGCGUUAUCCGGAUUUACUGGGUGUAAAGGGGGCGCAGACGGCGACGCAAGCCAGGAGUGAAAGCCCGGGGCCCAACCCCGGGACUGCUCUUGGAACUGCGUGGCUGGAGUGCAGGAGGGGCAG
rnacentral:rRNA from 1 species